UACGGGGUGCAGCAGGCGCGAAAACUUUACAAUGCUGGCAACAGCGAUAAGGGAACCUCGAGUGCCAGGUUACAAAUCUGGCUGUCGAGAUGCCUAAAAAGCAUUUCAUAGCAAGGGCCGGGCAAGACCGGUGCCAGCCGCCGCGGUAACACCGGCGGCUCGAGUGGUAACCGUUAUUAUUGGGUCUAAAGGGUCUGUAGCCGGCCGGAUAAGUCUCUUGAGAAAUCUGGCAGCUUAACUGUCAGGCUUUCAGGAGAUACUGUCUGGCUCGAGGCCGGGAGAGGUGAGAGGUACUUCAGGGGUAGGGGUGAAAUCUUGUAAUCCUUGAAGGACCACCAGUGGCGAAGGCGUCUCACCAGAACGGACCUGACGGCGAGGGACGAAAGCUAGGGGCACGAACCGGAUUAGAUACCCGGGUAGUCCUAGCCGUAAACGAUACUCGCUAGGUGUCGGCCACGGUGCGACCGUUGUCGGUGCCGUAGGGAAGCCGUGAAGCGAGCCACCUGGGAAGUACGGCCGCAAGGCUGAAACUUAAAGGAAUUGGCGGGGGAGCACCACAACGGGUGGAGCUUGCGGUUUAAUUGGAUUCAACGCCGGAAAUCUUA
rnacentral:rRNA from 1 species